rnacentral:rRNA from 1 species
AUACGUAGGUGACAAGCGUUAUCCGGAUUUACUGGGCGUAAAGGGCGUGUAGGCGGUCUUGCAAGUCAGAAGUGAAAUUCCUGAGCUCAACUCGGGCGCUGCUUCUGAAACUGCAGGACUUGAGUGCUGGAGGGGAUAGCGGAAUUCCUAGUGGAGCGGUAAAAUGCGCAGAUAUUAGGAAGAACACCGGUGGCGAAGGCGGCUAUCUGGACAGUAACUGACGCUGAGGCGCGAAAGCGUGGGGAACAAACAGGAUUAGAUACCCUGGUAGUCCACGCCGUAAACGAUGAAUUCUAGGUGUAGGGGGUAUCGACUCCCUCUGUGCCGCAGUUAACACAAUAAGUAUUCCGCCUGGGGAGUACGGCCGCAAGGUUGAAACUCAAAUGAAUUGGCGGGG